AUCAAGGACAAGACUAGAAUAUCCACAACCUUUCCCAAUAUGAGCUUGACUUCUGUAAAUUUUUUUCAAAAUAAAAAAAAAAUUGCACUUUUUUUUUGUUUAUUUCUCUCUCCUCUCAUUCUCUCUCUAAAAUUACCAUCAACUGAACGCAGAAAACGCUGAUAAAAUUUCUUCCCCAAAAAAAACGGCAUCAUAUCCUUCAACUUCAACCUUCUUUUAUUAUCACUGGUUAGAGCUUCAAAAUUCAAAAUUCCCAAAAAAAAAAAGAAAAAAAAGAUAAAAGAGAGAUAAUUUAAAGAGAGAAAGAAAGUGAGAAAAUUUAUAAGUAGUAGUUUAUAUUGUUAGAAAGUAAUUUGUGGGUAUUAUUGUUUGAGGAAUUGUAAAUUCUGGGUUUAUUUCCAUAUGUAAAUGCAUCAGAAGAAAUCUGAAGUUCAGAUCGGAAAAGAAAGCAGUGGCAUCUCUUCCGAUUUUAACCCAAGUCCACCUCUUUUAUUUCCAUCAUUAAUAACACAAAAACACCCAAAUAAUAAUCAUCAUAAUAUAAAUCAUCAAUUUCUUCAUUUUCAAUCAAACCCACCUUUAAUCUCUGCAUAUAACCCUAAUUCUGGUGUUUUGAAUGCAAUUAAAGUGAAUAAUGAGCCAAAUUUGGGGUCAAUUACAUCACCUUCAUCUUCUGCAACAACACCAAAAAACCCCCUUUUGUCAACUCCUCAUAAAAGGCCAUUGAUGAACCCAACAACUUCAUCUUCCAUUGUUAAAUCUCCAACUUUACCUUCAUCAUUAAGUAAUUACCCAUUUUCUGCAACACCCACUUCGAAUUUGAAGUAUUUAUCGUUGAAUUCGAGGUGCCCGUCUUUGUUUUUGGUGUUUUCAACGGCAAAAUCGGCGGCGUUUAGGUUAAUUAGGCGGUUUAGGCAUAUUAGGAGACUUAGGGUUCAUCUACGUUUGGUACUUUUGCUGGCUUUGCCGUUUUUUUACUUCUUGGUAUCACAUCCUAGUCACUCUUUUAUUCUUGAUUUUCUUUCUGCAUUUGCAUUUUCUGCUGCACUUUUGUUCUCUCUUAAUCUUGCCCUGCCUAGACUGCCCUCAAUUAGGGUGUUCCUCAAUCGAUCAUUCCCUUUCCCUAUCAAGUUAUCGUCGUCGUCUUCGACUGCUUCCCGGCCUUUGCCGGUGUUUUGGUCGAUUGGGUCGAGGCCGAAAGCAGAGAAGAAAGUAAGUUCAGGAUGUUGGGUUCAGGUUUAUAGCAAUGGGAUGUAUAUGAGGGUGAGUUUCAUAAGGGUAAGUGUUCAGGUAGUGGGGUGUAUUAUUACUACAUGAGUGGGAGGUAUGAGGGGAUUGGGUUGAUGGGAAGUAUGAUGGACAUGGAGUAGAAACAUGGGCUCGAGGGAGCCGCUAUCGAGGACAGUAUAGGCAAGGUCUUAGACAUGGUUUUGGUGUGUAUAGGUUUUAUACAGGGGAUGUGUAUGCAGGUGAGUGGUCUAAUGGGCAGAGCCAUGGUUGUGGGAUACAUACUUGCGAGGAUGGUAGUCGAUAUGUUGGCGAAUUCAAGUGGGGUGUUAAACAUGGUCUUGGCCACUACCAUUUUAGGAAUGGGGACACGUAUGCUGGAGAAUACUUCGCAGACAAAAUGCAUGGGUUUGGAGCUUAUAAAUUUGCCAAUGGCCAUCGGUAUGAAGGAGCCUGGCAUGAGGGUAGAAGACAAGGGCUUGGAAUGUAUACGUUUAGAAAUGGAGAAACCCAAGCAGGCCACUGGCAUAAUGGGAUACUUGACGUCCCAAGCACACAAAACGCAGCCUGCCCCGUGUCUCCUGUUGCUGUAAAUCAUUCCAAAGUACUCAAUGCCGUGCAGGAAGCAAGACGAGCAGCAGAGAAAGCAUAUGAUGUUGCAAAGGUUGAUGAAAGAGUAAAUAGAGGUGUAGCUGCUGCAAAUCGUGCUGCCAAUGCUGCCAGAGUUGCAGCCGUUAAAGCUGUUCAGAAGCAAAUGCAUCAUGACACUAAGCAUGACCACCAUACUCCGGUUCCAAUCGUAUGACAGUAACAGCAUCAUCUUCGAGACAUCUAUUAUAGAAGAUAUAGGCAGCUGAGUGAAUGAUUAUCACAUCGAUAUCAUUCCUGUGAUCGGCUUUGGCACCUUUGCUUGCUUAACUUGAGAGGGGUCCUUGAACGCAUAGUACUUAAAUCAAAAUGAGAUAUGUUUCUAGUUGAAACAACAGUCAGUCUUAUAUUACUCGUGUCAUUUCUCAUCUGUAGCUUCCUCGUUUCAGUAGUUGUAUUGGAGGAAGAUUUGAUGGGUGUUUAGUUUUGCCCUUUCUGGUUUUUAAUUUGUAAAAAAAAAACGGUUAAUCAGGUGUAAUAGGAGCUGGUGCUUAGGUCAAAACCUUAAUCCGGCCGGUGUUGUAUCAAUGUGAAUUUGCCUUUGAAAUGGAAAAUCUAGAGAAAGUUGGUGUAACAAUCUUUUGCUUA